rnacentral:tRNA from 1 species
GGAUAAUUAGUUUAGCACGAAGAAUACUGUUUUUGUAAAACAGAGGGGUUUAAUAGCAUUUUCCA